GACGGAGGAUGCAAGUGUUAUCCGGAAUUAUUGGGCGUAAAGCGUCUGUAGGUUGCCUAACAAGUCUGUUGUUAAAGGUUAAAGCUUAACUUUAAAACUGCAGCAGAAACUGCUAGGCUUGAGUACAGUCGAAGUAGAGGGAAUUUCCAGUGAAGCGGUGAAAUGCGUAGAUAUUGGAAGGAACACCAAUGGCGAAAGCACUCUACUAGACUUUUACUGACACUCAGAGACGAAAGCUAGGGUAGCAAAUGGGAUUAGAUACCCCAGUAGUCCUAGCCGUAAACGAUGGAUACUAGAUGUUGUGCAUAAGCAGUAUCGCAGCUAACGCGUUAAGUAUCCCGCCUGGGGAGUACGCUCGCAAGGGUG
rnacentral:rRNA from 1 species